AAAUUGAAGAGUUUGAUCAUGGCUCAGAUUGAACGCUGGCGGCAGGCCUAACACAUGCAAGUCGAACGGUAACAGGAAACAGCUUGCUGUUUCGCUGACGAGUGGCGGACGGGUGAGUAAUGUCUGGGAAACUGCCUGAUGGAGGGGGAUAACUACUGGAAACGGUAGCUAAUACCGCAUAACGUCGCAAGACCAAAGAGGGGGACCCUCGGGCCUCUUGCCAUCGGAUGUGCCCAGAUGGGAUUAGCUUGUUGGUGGGGUAACGGCUCACCAAGGCGACGAUCCCUAGCUGGUCUGAGAGGAUGACCAGCCACACUGGAACUGAGACACGGUCCAGACUCCUACGGGAGGCAGCAGUGGGGAAUAUUGCACAAUGGGCGCAAGCCUGAUGCAGCCAUGCCGCGUGUAUGAAGAAGGCCUUCGGGUUGUAAAGUACUUUCAGCGGGGAGGAAGGGAGUAAAGUUAAUACCUUUGCUCAUUGACGUUACCCGCAGAAGAAGCACCGGCUAACUCCGUGCCAGCAGCCGCGGUAAUACGGAGGGUGCAAGCGUUAAUCGGAAUUACUGGGCGUAAAGCGCACGCAGGCGGUUUGUUAAGUCAGAUGUGAAAUCCCCGGGCUCAACCUGGGAACUGCAUCUGAUACUGGCAAGCUUGAGUCUCGUAGAGGGGGGUAGAAUUCCAGGUGUAGCGGUGAAAUGCGUAGAGAUCUGGAGGAAUACCGGUGGCGAAGGCGGCCCCCUGGACGAAGACUGACGCUCAGGUGCGAAAGCGUGGGGAGCAAACAGGAUUAGAUACCCUGGUAGUCCACGCCGUAAACGAUGUCGACUUGGAGGUUGUGCCCUUGAGGCGUGGCUUCCGGAGCUAACGCGUUAAGUCGACCGCCUGGGGAGUACGGCCGCAAGGUUAAAACUCAAAUGAAUUGACGGGGGCCCGCACAAGCGGUGGAGCAUGUGGUUUAAUUCGAUGCAACGCGAAGAACCUUACCUGGUCUUGACAUCCACGGAAGUUUUCAGAGAUGAGAAUGUGCCUUCGGGAACCGUGAGACAGGUGCUGCAUGGCUGUCGUCAGCUCGUGUUGUGAAAUGUUGGGUUAAGUCCCGCAACGAGCGCAACCCUUAUCCUUUGUUGCCAGCGGUCCGGCCGGGAACUCAAAGGAGACUGCCAGUGAUAAACUGGAGGAAGGUGGGGAUGACGUCAAGUCAUCAUGGCCCUUACGACCAGGGCUACACACGUGCUACAAUGGCGCAUACAAAGAGAAGCGACCUCGCGAGAGCAAGCGGACCUCAUAAAGUGCGUCGUAGUCCGGAUUGGAGUCUGCAACUCGACUCCAUGAAGUCGGAAUCGCUAGUAAUCGUGGAUCAGAAUGCCACGGUGAAUACGUUCCCGGGCCUUGUACACACCG
rnacentral:rRNA from 1 species